rnacentral:snoRNA from 1 species
AGGUCAUCUCAAAGAAGGAUUGCGCAACUGAGACCAAGAGCUCUUAACACUGUGACCAAAGAAUAAGAUUCUUCAUGGAAUACCAUCGACACUCCAUAAUGCUAUGUUUUCUCCUUUGGAGAUACAAGA